rnacentral:ribozyme from 12 species
UAAGAAAAGAGAAACAAAUCGAGUGAAUGAAUGAAUAAAUGAGUCAGGUCAAAAGUGGGUGAGUUUUUUUUCAAUUUUUUGUGAAAUUUUGUUCCUGUUUUUUUUUCUCCUUCUCUGUAAUUG